UGGGGAAUAUUGGACAAUGGGCGCAAGCCUGAUGCAGCCAUGCCGCGUGUAUGAAGAAGGCCUUCGGGUUGUAAAGUACUUUCAGCGGGGAGGAAGGCGAUAAGGUUAAUAACCUUGUCGAUUGACGUUACCCGCAGAAGAAGCACCGGCUAACUCCGUGCCAGCAGCCGCGGUAAUACGGAGGGAGCAAGCGUUAAUCGGAAUUACUGGGCGUAAAGCGCACGCAGGCGGUCUGUCAAGUCGGAUGUGAAAUCCCCGGGCUCAACCUGGGAACUGCAUUCGAAACUGGCAGGCUAGAGUCUUGUAGAGGGGGGUAGAAUUCCAGGUGUAGCGGUGAAAUGCGUAGAGAUCUGGAGGAAUACCGGUGGCGAAGGCGGCCCCCUGGACAAAGACUGACGCUCAGGUGCGAAAGCGUGGGGAGCAAACA
rnacentral:rRNA from 1 species